UCCCGGGCCUUGUACACACCGCCCGUCACACCACGAGAGUUUGUAACACCCGAAGUCGGUGGGGUAACCUUUUUGGAGCCAGCCGCCUAAGGUGGGACAGAUGAUUGGGGUGAAGUCGUAACAAGGUAGCCGUAUCGGAAGGUGCGGCUGGAUCACCUCCUUU
rnacentral:rRNA from 1 species